rnacentral:rRNA from 1 species
UUAACCUCAGAUCAGGCAAGAUUACCCGCUGAAUUUAAGCAUAUUACUAAGCGGAGGAAAAGGAACUGACAAGGAUUCCCCCAGUAAUGGCGAAUGAAGAGGGAACAGCUCAACUUGAAAAUCUCCGUUGCGUUGCAACGGCGAAUUGUAGUUUCGAGAAGUACUUUCCCGGCGCGACGGGCCUGCCUAAGUUGCUUGGAACAGCACGUCACAGAGGG